AUGAGCUCGGCUCUGAGCUCCAGCGCUCGUGCGGCUGCUUCGCCUCCUCCAUAUGCUGCUGCUGCAGCAUCAUGGCCGCUCUGGCUAACGUGGGACCCUCACGCUUCAGAGUGUGAAGCAGCCUCCGGUGCCGGCGUUCUGGCCUUUCGUCCCGAGCGGCGCCGGCUCUUCAGACUGCAGCCUGGGAUCCAUCUGCCUCGGAUUUGCCACGUUUUCCCCCAGAGCCGGAGACUGGCUCACCGGAGGCACCGAGGGCGCACGGCAUCUGUACGGCGCUGGACAGAGCGGGAGAGAGGGAGUAGAUGGUAUUUGCGUGUCUGUGUGUGUGUGCGUGUGUGAGAAUGUGCCCAACGUGAGUGUGUGAGGGAGCUGAGAAGGACCGCGGCGGUACCGCUCUCACACAGCUCACGAGCUGCGCUGGAGGAUCUCUUCAGAGCCAGACAGCGCCGCAGCGAUGUCAGACGCAGCACACACAGGUGGGUCACACGGCACCGGUGCACAGGUGAACAGAACCAGGACCGGCUCGCUCCUCGCUCGGGGGCUGCUGGCGUUUAGGCUGCUUUUAGCCACGCAGCACUAAGUGGCCACCGCGGCCUGCUGUCUGGCCCCGGGUCAUCAGGGCUGGACGUCUGCCUUGGAACAGGAAGCUGUCAAAUUGGAAAAUAUGGGCGUCAGAAGAGCAAAAAUGAGUCCAACAACAGUGUCCGGUUCGGGUCUCACUGGUUAAACCUGCUGAUGUGUAUUUUUAUUGAGCCAGAGAACUGGGCGCGCGCUUCCUGCAGACCUCCAGGUGCGUUUGCGGCUCCCUCGGCCUCUGCCGCUCGCAGGCGGCGCCGCAGACCUUCAAACAGCCGCAGUGGGACCUUCAGGCUCCCGUUCAGCCGUAAUUGCAUUGCCGCGGCUGUAACACAGCAGAAAGCCGCCGCGCAUCCGCUCCUCUCCGUCACGUGACUCCGACGGCGAACAUGUCUGUGCGCCUUUGCUUUUGCGGGGCAAACGCAGCCUCGGCCAAUAGCGUCUUGGCGACGCGCCUCUCUCACUCUCAUUUUCUCGCGUUCUCUGUCGCGAGGCCUUCACGUGUUGUCGAAAAUACUAAAUUCUGGGAACGGCCCGUUUCUGUUUCAACUCCGUAUAACUAAGCCGGAUUUUCUGCUUUGUCCUCGCACCUAUUGGGGAAUAGGCUCCAUAGGUUGGUUAACAGCGCUGUCAUCUAAAUUCUUGCACAUUUGGCGAGUAAUAUAUUAAUUCAAAACGUUGAAAGGUGACGUGUUGUAGACGUGGCUGCUAUUGUAAGAUGCCACUAAUGAAGCGGCGUGAGCUUCGUAGGCGGUUUUCCGCC
rnacentral:lncRNA from 1 species